GGCCAUUUAUUCACCAUCAUUUCUAUUUACCGUUUUCCUCUUCUUACAAAUCUCCAAUUACCCAAUUCUAUUUCUUAAAAUUUAAAUCCACCAAUCAAUAAUUACCCACUUCUAUUUUUUAAAUUUAAAUUACACGUGUACAUAUGCAUUCUCUAGCAGCCAAGGCAUGAAUGCCAGUGGCAAAUCAACCUAGAUGUCGUGGUUU
rnacentral:misc_RNA from 1 species